rnacentral:lncRNA from 1 species
CUUCUCGAACAAUGAUAUUGCUGUCAUCGUCCGCAUGUAUUGUACGCCCCGCUGCCAGUGCCUUGGGUGACCGUCAUAGCCUGGCUGUCCUCAUCCCAAUGGUCGCUUGUCUGAAGGGAGACACCUACCCAGCCAGGCCUACGGUGUACACAGGCAGAGAGGAGAGCCGCUUAUUAGCAUACUUUUCUGUGAAGACUCCUUGACUCUGACACACGAGAAUGAAAAAUCGGGACAAUCCAACGAAACACUUUAGGGCCACAAGUUUGCCGGGCGAGGGCGGUAUAGCUGCACGUCACAGGAGUCCAAGACACACUGAGGGCAAAUCAAAAUAGUGGAGCGACCUGCGCGGUGCUGGCCUGGCCUGGGUGCUAGUGCCUCGAGUAAGAAUAGUCACGCCGCUCGGGAGGAAAGGCGAGUGGAGGGAGAGGAAAGGGAGAAAUAGGAGAUCCUAUAUUUUCGAUCUUUCUAUCUAUUUUGUUUCACUAUUUUCUAUAGUAUGAAGCUGUUCGUACAAAAAAAAUAUCAUACUGAUAUCAUCAUAUAAUUUUGCAGACAUUGUUUACGACAUUAAUGUUGUGUCUCCAUAAGGUAAAAGGAUAAUGAUAAUAACAUACUUUCAAAGUUUGUAAUAACGUUUUUCUUUUUUUGUAGCUGAGUAAAAAGUAUAUUUUACAUGAAAAUACAGCCUCAGAUUAACGCCAUAAAGGGGGAAAACUUCAUUAACGUAUUUUUCUAUCUUCGCUUCGUGAUUAGUGUCAACGGAGAUAAAAGCGACCAUCUGCUUCUGCAUUGCCUUUGUUAUCAACAAGAGGAAUCAACCAUUUCUGACUUAAUUUCCAUAUUCCACAUGAAAGUGUAUUUAGUAAAUAAUAAAUACAGUCCCAGAUA